GGGGGCGACCUGGGUUCGACGGGGAUAGUUGAGACCACAGUGGCAGGCCGAGCGACCCAGUGACUCGUUAAUCCAAGGGAAAACACUGAAAAGCAGACUCACACGAGUACGCUCUGGCUGCUUAAGCCAGCGUCUCCGGCGGGAUGUGGCCCGCAGACUACCGGAGGCGUAGCCAAAUGGGCUGGUCGCAUGGGGUGGCAAACUGACCUGCGCGACAAGAAAAAUAGUUUGAUAGCCUUGAGGAAGCCCGUACGUCGGCGUCCAACUGGCGAAAACUCAAAAGGCGGACUAAGCCUGUAGAAGCUUUGGGGGAAGAUCUUCGGACGCGGGUUCAAUUCCCGCCGCCUCCACCA
rnacentral:tmRNA from 1 species